rnacentral:tRNA from 1 species
GGCAGUCCAUCGGACAGCGGAAUCGCUGCUCAUGUGCACUGCCGGACCGGUCUGGACGCAUGAUCGCAGACCUCGAAAGCGUGUGAGGGUGCAAGCCCUCCGCGGGUUCAAAUCCCGCCGCCA